AGAAUUGAAUGGAAAGAAGAAUGGAUAGACUUGAUAGUUACUGGAUAAGAAUCACACUAAAGCCUAUGGGCAAAGGUGGAUACGAUAAGCAACGAGUCAAACGUCUCGCACCCAAAGAUAUCCAGAACAAGUGUAGGAAAGCUCCAGUAUCAUUCCUUCUUUACCACUUAAGGCUCAUGGCAUGUAAUUCUCGUCUUAACUUCAAGUAGGAAGAGAA
rnacentral:lncRNA from 1 species